UACGGAGGGGGCUAGCGUUGUUCGGAAUUACUGGGCGUAAAGCGCACGUAGGCGGAUCAGUUAGUCAGGGGUGAAAUCCCGGGGCUCAACCCCGGAACUGCCUUUGAUACUGCUGGUCUGGAGGUCGGGAGAGGCGAGUGGAAUUCCGAGUGUAGAGGUGAAAUUCGUAGAUAUUCGGAGGAACACCAGUGGCGAAGGCGGCUCGCUGGCCCGAUACUGACGCUGAGGUGCGAAAGCGUGGGGAGCAAACAGG
rnacentral:rRNA from 1 species